UUAAGUUAUUAAGGGCGCACGGUGGAUGCCUUGGCACUAGAAGCCGAUGAAGGACGUUACUAACGACGAUAUGCUUUGGGGAGCUGUAAGUAAGCUUUGAUCCAGAGAUUUCCGAAUGGGGAAACCCAGCAUGAGUUAUGUCAUGUUAUUGAUAUGUGAAUACAUAGCAUAUCAGAAGGCACACCCGGAGAACUGAAACAUCUUAGUACCCGGAGGAAGAGAAAGAAAAUUCGAUUCCCUUAGUAGCGGCGAGCGAAACGGGAAGAGCCCAAACCAACAAGCUUGCUUGUUGGGGUUGUAGGACACUCUAUACGGAGUUACAAAGGACGACAUUAGACGAAUCAUCUGGAAAGAUGAAUCAAAGAAGGUAAUAAUCCUGUAGUCGAAAAUGUUGUCUCUCUUGAGUGGAUCCUGAGUACGACGGAGCACGUGAAAUUCCGUCGGAAUCUGGGAGGACCAUCUCCUAAGGCUAAAUACUCUCUAGUGACCGAUAGUGAACCAGUACCGUGAGGGAAAGGUGAAAAGCACCCCGGAAGGGGAGUGAAAUAGAACCUGAAACCGUGUGCUUACAAGUAGUCAGAGCCCGUUAAUGGGUGAUGGCGUGCCUUUUGUAGAAUGAACCGGCGAGUUACGAUUUGAUGCAAGGUUAAGCAGUAAAUGUGGAGCCGUAGCGAAAGCGAGUCUGAAUAGGGCGUUUAGUAUUUGGUCGUAGACCCGAAACCAGGUGAUCUACCCUUGGUCAGGUUGAAGUUCAGGUAACACUGAAUGGAGGACCGAACCGACUUACGUUGAAAAGUGAGCGGAUGAACUGAGGGUAGCGGAGAAAUUCCAAUCGAACCUGGAGAUAGCUGGUUCUCUCCGAAAUAGCUUUAGGGCUAGCCUCAAGUGAUGAUUAUUGGAGGUAGAGCACUGUUUGGACGAGGGGCCCCUCUCGGGUUACCGAAUUCAGACAAACUCCGAAUGCCAAUUAAUUUAACUUGGGAGUCAGAACAUGGGUGAUAAGGUCCGUGUUCGAAAGGGAAACAGCCCAGACCACCAGCUAAGGUCCCAAAAUAUAUGUUAAGUGGAAAAGGAUGUGGCGUUGCCCAGACAACUAGGAUGUUGGCUUAGAAGCAGCCAUCAUUUAAAGAGUGCGUAAUAGCUCACUAGUCGAGUGACACUGCGCCGAAAAUGUACCGGGGCUAAACAUAUUACCGAAGCUGUGGAUUGUCCUUUGGACAAUGGUAGGAGAGCGUUCUAAGGGCGUUGAAGCAUGAUCGUAAGGACAUGUGGAGCGCUUAGAAGUGAGAAUGCCGGUGUGAGUAGCGAAAGACGGGUGAGAAUCCCGUCCACCGAUUGACUAAGGUUUCCAGAGGAAGGCUCGUCCGCUCUGGGUUAGUCGGGUCCUAAGCUGAGGCCGACAGGCGUAGGCGAUGGAUAACAGGUUGAUAUUCCUGUACCACCUAUAAUCGUUUUAAUCGAUGGGGGGACGCAGUAGGAUAGGCGAAGCGUGCGAUUGGAUUGCACGUCUAAGCAGUAAGGCUGAGUAUUAGGCAAAUCCGGUACUCAUUAAGGCUGAGCUGUGAUGGGGAGAAGACAUUGUGUCUUCGAGUCGUUGAUUUCACACUGCCGAGAAAAGCCUCUAGAUAGAAAAUAGGUGCCCGUACCGCAAACCGACACAGGUAGUCAAGAUGAGAAUUCUAAGGUGAGCGAGCGAACUCUCGUUAAGGAACUCGGCAAAAUGACCCCGUAACUUCGGGAGAAGGGGUGCUCUUUAGGGUUAACGCCCAGAAGAGCCGCAGUGAAUAGGCCCAAGCGACUGUUUAUCAAAAACACAGGUCUCUGCUAAACCGUAAGGUGAUGUAUAGGGGCUGACGCCUGCCCGGUGCUGGAAGGUUAAGAGGAGUGGUUAGCUUCUGCGAAGCUACGAAUCGAAGCCCCAGUAAACGGCGGCCGUAACUAUAACGGUCCUAAGGUAGCGAAAUUCCUUGUCGGGUAAGUUCCGACCCGCACGAAAGGCGUAACGAUUUGGGCACUGUCUCAACGAGAGACUCGGUGAAAUCAUAGUACCUGUGAAGAUGCAGGUUACCCGCGACAGGACGGAAAGACCCCGUGGAGCUUUACUGUAGCCUGAUAUUGAAAUUCGGCACAGCUUGUACAGGAUAGGUAGGAGCCUUUGAAACGUGAGCGCUAGCUUACGUGGAGGCGCUGGUGGGAUACUACCCUAGCUGUGUUGGCUUUCUAACCCGCACCACUUAUCGUGGUGGGAGACAGUGUCAGGCGGGCAGUUUGACUGGGGCGGUCGCCUCCUAAAAGGUAACGGAGGCGCUCAAAGGUUCCCUCAGAAUGGUUGGAAAUCAUUCAUAGAGUGUAAAGGCAUAAGGGAGCUUGACUGCGAGACCUACAAGUCGAGCAGGGUCGAAAGACGGACUUAGUGAUCCGGUGGUUCCGCAUGGAAGGGCCAUCGCUCAACGGAUAAAAGCUACCCCGGGGAUAACAGGCUUAUCUCCCCCAAGAGUUCACAUCGACGGGGAGGUUUGGCACCUCGAUGUCGGCUCAUCGCAUCCUGGGGCUGUAGUCGGUCCCAAGGGUUGGGCUGUUCGCCCAUUAAAGCGGUACGCGAGCUGGGUUCAGAACGUCGUGAGACAGUUCGGUCCCUAUCCGUCGUGGGCGUAGGAAAUUUGAGAGGAGCUGUCCUUAGUACGAGAGGACCGGGAUGGACAUACCUCUGGUGUACCAGUUGUCGUGCCAACGGCAUAGCUGGGUAGCUAUGUGUGGACGGGAUAAGUGCUGAAAGCAUCUAAGCAUGAAGCCCCCCUCAAGAUGAGAUUUCCCAACUUCGGUUAUAAGAUCCCUCAAAGAUGAUGAGGUUAAUAGGUUCGAGGUGGAAGCAUGGUGACAUGUGGAGCUGACGAAUACUAAUCGAUCGAAGACUUAAUCAA
rnacentral:rRNA from 2 species